GACGCUUUGGCCGAGCGGUUAAGGCGACACCCUGCUACCCUGGAGUUGAGGUGUUCUCUUCGGAGGCACAAGUUCGAAUCUUGUAGGCGUCG
rnacentral:tRNA from 1 species